UUCAGCCCCUCCGAUAUAGAACCAACCGUAUUGUCACUGCUACUGGGGUCCGGCAGUGGCAGUGUCUCCGUCAUAGCCGCCGCCGCUGCGGAGCUAUGGACGGAAAACAGACUCGUGAGAUGAUGACAUCAUCAUCUCGCGAGUCUCUCUCUCUGCACUGUAGCGGCUGUAGAGGGAGGCUGGGAGGAGCGGCCGGGGACUCUGCAGGAGCUGACACUGGGUGGAUGCGUGUAGCUGUGUCCUCCUGUGGCGCAGCUCACAACUUGAAGCAGGGGCAGGGCUGGCCUGUAUUUUCGUGUGGAGCUGAGUCUGCAGUGCUAAGGCUUAAAAUCCCAUUGCAUGCUAAAGAUGACGGGAAAAGCAGAAUAGGCCACUAAGGAUUGCUGGCCUAGAUUUUAGCUGUGGGAUUUCAUACAAUGUUACAGAGGUAGGUUGCUUGCCAUCAACGGGACGCUGUGCUUUUAAGUGUAAGUCAUUGUUUUCAUAUCCACUGCUGGCAGCAGAAUCAAAGCAACUACUACACACAUAUUGUUUUGUGAAUGCCAAAGAAAUGCAAUAACACUGGAAGGAUAUAGGCAAAUCCCAGUGGCCUCCUCUGCUGCCAAUUGUUACACAUGAUAGAAGUUUUACAAUGACAGAAGAUCUCCGACAACUGCUGAAUUGUCUCGGUGCCAAGGGAGGGAACGAGCAAGUUGGAAGAUGAAUGCAGGAGGUGGACACAAUUCACCUGGAACACACAUUUCCUACCCUACCUCUGCUGCAGAUAACCAAGAGAGAGGAAGAAUGAUAGCGUUUGGCCACUUGCAAGGGAACUCUAGAACAUUUCAUGAUAUUUAGUGUAGUAAACAUUUGCAUGUAUUGGUGCAGUUUGGAAGCACACACACAAUAAAUUAUGAAAGGACGAUUUCAAUCAU